ACUAAGUCUAGCCCUGACAAAUACCAAACCUAAUUAUUAAUUUUAAUAAAACAAAACAUUUGACAAAAGCAAGUAUUGGAGAAAGAAAGCUAUCUCAGGAGCUAUAGAGGCAGUACCGUAAGGGAAAGAUGAAAGAGUAUUUAAAAGUAAUAAUAAGCAAAGAUUAAACCUUGUACCUUUUGUAUAAUGAGUUAACUAGAAUACACCUAACUAAGAGGCCUUAAGCUAGAUACCCCGAAACCAAACGAGCUACCUAAGAGCAGUAAAAAGAACUAACCCGUCUAUGUGGCAAAAUAGUGGGAUGACUUCUAGGUAGAGGUGAAAAGCCUACCGAGCUUGGUGAUAGCUGGUUACCCAAUAAAGAAUUUUAGUUCGACUUUAAGAUUACCAUAAGAAAUAAUAAUCCCAAUGUAAUCUUAAAUUUUAGCCUAAAGAGGGACAGCUCUUUAGGAAUGGAAACAACCUUUUAUAGUGAAUAAACUCUACUAACUUAAACCAUUGUUGGCCUAAAAGCAGCCACCAAUAAAGAAAGCGUUAAAGCUCAACACUAUAGCAUCUUAAUACCACAAACUACAAUGACUUCCUAUAAGAACUAAUUGGGUCAAUCUAUAACUAUAUAGAUGAGAUACUGUUAACAUGAGUAACAAGAACACCGUUCUCCGAGCACAAGCCUAUAACAACCCGGAUAACCAUUGUUAGUUAACAUCAAAAGGUGGAGACCCUACUAAUUAACCCCACCUAAAUUAAAACUGUUAGUCCAACACAGGUGUGCUUUAAGGAAAGAUUAAAAGAAGUAAAAGGAACUCGGCAAACAAGAAUCCCGCCUGUUUACCAAAAACAUCACCUCUAGCAUAAAAAGUAUUAGAGGCACCGCCUGCCCAGUGACAAACGUUUAACGGCCGCGGUAUCCUGACCGUGCAAAGGUAGCAUAAUCACUUGUUCCUUAAUUGGGGACUGGAAUGAAUGGCUCCACGAGGAUUCAACUGUCUCUUACUUCCAAUCAGUGAAAUUGACCUUCCCGUGAAGAGGCGGGAAUAUAACAAUAAGACGAGAAGACCCUAUGGAGCUUUAAUCUACUGGCUUAACUUUUUAAUCAAUUAUCCUAAUGGACUAAAUAAUAAAGCCAUAAGCCAGUGAUUUCGGUUGGGGUGACCUCGGAGUAUAAACAAACCUCCGAAAGAUUUUAACUAAGACCCACAAGUCAAAGUUACUAAAAUCCAAUUGACCCAAUUCAUUUGAUCAACGGACUAAGUUACCCUAGGGAUAACAGCGCAAUCCUAUUUAAGAGUCCAUAUCGACAAUAGGGUUUACGACCUCGAUGUUGGAUCAGGACAUCCCAAUGGUGUAGCAGCUAUUAAUGGUUCGUUUGUUCAACGAUUAAAGUCCUACGUGAUCUGAGUUCAGACCGGAGCAAUCCAGGUCGGUUUCUAUCUAUUAACUAUUUCUCCCAGUACGAAAGGAUAAGAGAAAUGGGGCCUCCUUAACUCAAAGCGCCUCAAAACUAAUAUAUGAAAUUAUCUCAAUUUAGUAAGUUAGUAACAUUAUGCCCUAGACAAGGGCUCA
rnacentral:rRNA from 1 species